GACGAACGCUGGCGGCGUGCUUAACACAUGCAAGUCGAACGGAAAGGCCUGCUUUCCCUUGUGGAUUGCGGGUACUCGAGUGGCGAACGGGUGAGUAACACGUGAGUGAUCUGCCCCCAACUUGGGUAUAAGCCUGGGAAACUGGGUCUAAUUCCCGAUAGGACUGCAGGGUGGUGCCUGUGGUGGAAAACGAUUUUCUAGUGGUUGGGGAUGAGCUCGCGGCCUAUCAGCUUGUUGGUGGGGUAAUGGCCUACCAAGGCGGCGACGGGUAGCCGGCCUGGGAGGGUGGACGGCGACAUUGGGACUGAGAGACGGCCCAGACUCCUACGGGAGGCAGCAGUGGGGAAUAUUGCACAAGGGGCGGAAGCCUGAUGCAGCGACGCCGCGUGGGGGAUGACGGCCUUCGGGUGGUAAACUCCUUUCGACCGCGAGGAAGCCACCUGGUUGGAAGGGUGGUGACGGUAGUGGUAGAAGAAGCACCGGCUAACUACGUG
rnacentral:rRNA from 1 species